rnacentral:rRNA from 1 species
CGGACGGGUGAGUAACGCGUGAGAAUCUGGCUCUAGGUUCGGGACAACCACUGGAAACGGUGGCUAAUACCGGAUGUGCCGAGAGGUGAAAGGUUAGCUGCCUGGAGAUGAGCUCGCGUCUGAUUAGCUAGUUGGUGGUGUAAGGGACUACCAAGGCGACGAUCAGUAGCUGGUCUGAGAGGAUGAUCAGCCACACUGGAACUGAGACACGGUCCAGACUCCUACGGGAGGCAGCAGUGGGGAAUUUUCCGCAAUGGGCGAAAGCCUGACGGAGCAAUACCGCGUGAGGGAGGAAGGCUCUUGGGUUGUAAACCUCUUUUCUCAGGGAAUAAGCAAGUGAAGGUACCUGAGGAAUCAGCAUCGGCUAACUCCGUGCCAGCAGCCGCGGUAAUACGGAGGAUGCAAGCGUUAUCCGGAAUGAUUGGGCGUAAAGCGUCCGUAGGUAGCAGUGUGUGUCUAUUGUUAAAGAGUUUGGCUUAACCAAAUAAGGGCGGUAGAAACUACACAGCUAGAGUGCGUUCGGGGCAGAGGGAAUUCCUGGUGUAGCGGUGAAAUGCGUAGAGAUCAGGAAGAACACCGGUGGCGAAAGCGCUCUGCUAGGCCGCAACUGACACUGAGGGACGAAAGCUAGGGGAGCGAAUGGGAUUAGAUACCCCUGUAGUC